UACGAAGGGGGCUAGCGUUGCUCGGAAUUACUGGGCGUAAAGGGCGCGUAGGCGGCACUGUUAGUCAGGCGUGAAAGUCCUGGGCUCAACCUGGGAACUGCGCUUGAUACGGCAGAGCUAGAGGAUGGAAGAGGCUCGCGGAGUUCCCAGUGUAGAGGUGAAAUUCGUAGAUAUUGGGAAGAACACCGGUGGCGAAGGCGGCGAGCUGGUCCAUUACUGACGCUGAGGCGCGACAGCGUGGGGAGCAAACAGG
rnacentral:rRNA from 1 species